rnacentral:rRNA from 1 species
GUAUGAUAUUGGCUUACCGUGGCAGUGACGGUUAACGGGGAAUUAGGGUUCGAUUCCGGAGAGGAAGCCUGAGAAACGGCUACCACAUCUAAGGAAGGCAGCAGGCGCGCAAAUUACCCAAUCCUAACAGAAAAAGGGAGGUAGUGACAAGAAAUAACAAUACAAGGCAGUAAAAUUGUUUUGUAAUUGGAAUGAUAGAAAUUUAAACACUUUCUAAAGUAUCAAUUGGAGGGCAAGUCUGGUGCCAGCAGCCGCGGUAAUUCCAGCUCCAAUAGCGUAUAUUAAAGUUGUUGCAGUUAAAAAGCUCGUAGUUGGAUUUUUGCUAAAAUUAACUGGUCUGCUUUUUGUAAAAGUAGUAUCUUGGUAUGUUUUUGGCAUUUAUGUCCUAAGGAAAUGUUUUUUGCUUGAUUGUAAUAAACAACAAUUAGGAUUUUUACUUUGAGAAAAUUAGAGUGUUUCAAGCAGGCUUACGCUUUGAAUACUGCAGCAUGGAAUAAUAAAAUAGGAUUUUGGUUCUACAUUAUUGGUUUUAAGAGCUAAAUUAAUGAUUAAUAGGGACAGUUGGGGGCAUUUGUAUUUAACU